UGGUGGAGCGAUUUGUCAGGUUAAUUCCGAUAACGAACGAGACUCUGGCCUAUUAAAUAGUUCGCCGAUUCCGAUCUGUCGGCGUUAACUUCUUAGAGGGACAAGUGGCUUUUAGCCACGCGAGAUUGAGCAAUAACA
rnacentral:rRNA from 1 species